CAGUUUGUUGGGAGAUAAAAAUACAUUCGCAGAACCUCCCAGGAGCUGCGCCAUCAGCCUUACAGACUAGAAGGAAGGCUCGUUUCCUUGCGCCGCUAUGGAAAUGUCUUCCUCCUCCUCCCCCGGCUCACCCGGAUCAAAGUCUUUUUCAUUCUUAGUUGGUUGUUCUCAGGAAAAAUCUGGAGUCCAGACAGGGUCGAGCCCAGAGAGGGUGACCCCUUGAGGGCAGACCGAGAGGCAUGGCGCGUCUGGUCCCUCCGCAGUCCCGGGAGAGCUGCGCCCCCUCUCCGCGCGCGGGGAGAGCACUCCAGCGAAGCCGCGAAAUCCGUUACCAGGCUGCUGUGUCCCCGAAGGCCAUUCCAGGGCGGAAGAGGACCGAGAAAACCGCUGUGUUAAUUCCCCGGCCUUGUGGGCUGGGCGCGCAGCCGGUCGGGUUACAGACAGGUAUAAGGGUAGAUAGGAAAAACCAAAACCAAAAAUGAACACAGAGUUCUCCAGCCACCUCCCCAGUAAGGGCAGCAAGGGGAUGUAGCCCAUCUUCACUUUACUGGCUUCCUGGAAAGGGUCCUGAAGAAUCUCGCCGCCGCCUCCCCCUCCGCUGGCGGAGAUUUCAACGAGCCCCGGGAAUGAUCCACAAGGUCCAGAGGAACUGAGCCAUUUUCUGUCUUGCUUGUCGGAGACAAGUACACUGGG